rnacentral:misc_RNA from 1 species
UCCGGUUUGGCACCGGCAGUCUCCGAUGAGUCCCCGGCAUUACCCGCUGGCAACAUUGGACAGGGGUUGCGCUCGUUGCGCCACUUAAGGCAACACCUCACGGCACGAGCUGACGACAGCCAUGCAGCACCUGUGCAGAGACCCUUGCGGGAGAUCCAAUUUCUUGGACUGUCCUCUGCAUGUCAAGCCUAGGUAAGGUUCUUCGCGUUGCAUCGAAUUAAACCACAUGCUCCACUGCUUGUGCGGGUCCCCGUCAAUUCUUUUGAGUUUCAGCCUUGCGACUGUACUCCCCAGGCGGUAUACUUAACGCGUUAGCUACGGCACAGUCGGGGUUGAGUCCGACUACACCAAGUAUACAUGGUUUACGGCAAGGACUAC